rnacentral:lncRNA from 1 species
CCACACUUACACGUUGAUGGUUUAAAUAGCAAAUGUUGUUUUAAACUUUAUGAACAUAAAGUUAUUAUAUUUGUCCAACUUUAGCAUGUAUCCUUGCACCUGUUGCUUUUUCACUUGAUUCAGCUUAUGGCUUCAAAUGUAGAAAGGUCAAAUUUGUUUUGUAGCAGUUUUGCAAUUGAAUUUCUUUUAAGUUGUUGAUUUUGGAGAUGCAGGUAUAUGACAAGGGCAGUUGGUUCGUUUCUUCCAAAGAUGUUCCCAAGUUUCGUAGAA